rnacentral:rRNA from 1 species
AACGAACGCUGGCGGCAGGCCUAACACAUGCAAGUCGAACGCACCGCAAGGUGAGUGGCGCACGGGUGAGUAACACGUGGGAAUGUACCCUUUGGUUCGGAAUAACGUCUGGAAACGGACGCUAGUACCGGAUGAGCCCUGCGGGGGAAAGAUUUAUCGCCAAAGGAGCAGCCCGCGUCUGAUUAGCUAGUUGGUGGGGUAAAGGCCUACCAAGGCGACGAUCAGUAGCUGGUCUGAGAGGAUGAUCAGCCACACUGGGACUGAGACACGGCCCAGUCUCCUACGGGAGGCAGCAGUGGGGAAUAUUGGACAAUGGGCGAAAGCCUGAUCCAGCCAUGCCGCGUGAGUGAUGAAGGCCUUCGGGUUGUAAAGCUCUUUCGCACGCGACGAUGAUGACGGUAGCGUGAGAAGAAGCCCCGGCUAACUUCGUGCCAGCCGCCGCCGUAAUAC